AAAGAAACGCGCUACUGGCUGAGCCCGGGAGCUGGGAUUGAUUGAGAAGUUGCCGUGAGCCCGGCGUGGGCUCGGAGCUUUACGAACGUUAUGUCCCUUAACCCUCGCUGCAUCCCUGUGAGAAACUUCCUGCUCAAGAAGUUUAGCCUGGCAGGGGAAUCAGACCUGAAGGUACUCCUAGACGCAGCACUGGUGUGAGAAGCUCUCUAAACUUCUGCCUUGUGCCUGGGACAGGAAAAUCUAUUACCAG